rnacentral:rRNA from 1 species
UACGUAGGGUGCAAGCGUUGUCCGGAAUUAUUGGGCGUAAAGAGCUCGUAGGCGGUCUGUCACGUCGGCUGUGAAAACCCGAGGCUCAACCUCGGGCCUGCAGUCGAUACGGGCAAACUGGAGUGUUGCAGGGGAGACUGGAAUUCCUGGUGUAGCGGUGAAAUGCGCAGAUAUCAGGAGGAACACCGGUGUCGAAGGCGGCUCGUGGGCCGUAUGACUGCGUGGAGGAGCGAAGAACGUGGGGGAGCGAAACAGG